GAGAGAGGCCCGAGAGCACCGAUAACUGCUAAUUUUCGUCUCCUUGGUUGAACCCCAAGGCUCACUCA
rnacentral:tRNA from 1 species